rnacentral:rRNA from 1 species
CCUACGGGAGGCAGCAGUGGGGAAUAUUGCUCAAUGGGGGAACCCCUGAUCCAGCGACGUCGCGUGAAGGAAGAAGUAUCUCGGUAUGUAAACUUCUAUCAGCAGGGAAGAAAAUGACGGUACCUGACUAAGAAGCCACGGCUAACUACGUGCCAGCAGCCGCGGUAAUACGUCGGGGGCACGCGUUAUCCGGAUUUAUUGGGUGUAAAGGGAGAGUAGGCGGGUUAGCAAGUCAGAAGUGAAAGCCCGGGGCUCAACUCCGGGACUGCUUUUGAAACUGUUGAACUAGAGUGCAGGAGAGGUAAGUGGAAUGCCUGGUGUAGCGGUGAAAUGCGUAGAUAUUAGGAGGAACACCGGUGGCGAAGGCGGCUUACUGGACUGUAAAUGACGCUGAGGCUCGAAAGCGUGGGGAGCAAACAGGAUUAGAUACCCUGGUAGUC